ACCAUGAAUUUCGACAGCACGCUUGACCAAAUGACUCUCAUGGAAAGGGACGCCCGAAGAAAAAGACGACUUUGAAGGUUCAACUUCCCGACUAAUCUUCCUUUCGAUGAGGUUGACAUCGAUGAUGCCUUUCGAGGAGCUGUGCACGGCAAUAUAACUCAAGAACCCUGAUCAUUCAUUAUAACAUCAGGACCUUAAGCAUAUGUUCCUCAGACAGAGUCGAUAUCGUCUUGCACUUGUCUUCUCUCCUGUACAAGUUCUGUUGACUACAAGCCAAAGCAGUGGCCAAGCAGCAAGCACAUCGCUCCAUAUGCAGAAAGAGAGUUCCGCAUCUUCAUCAGGCAAACAAGAAAGAUCGUCAAUGGAGCUUUAGAAGUAAACAAUCCAACGAUACUGGAAUUUGGUCCAAGAGUAAGAGAACUUGCAGGAGAGUUGGCAAUAUAAUCUGCUUAACCUUCCUUUUCCUCUGCUAGAU
rnacentral:lncRNA from 1 species